AGCUGGUCCGAGUGCAGUGGUGUUUACAACUGAUCCAUCACAACCAGUUACAGAUGUCUUUGUUCCUUCUCUGCUCCCACUACUUCACUUGACUAGCCUUAA
ensembl:Y_RNA Y_RNA Y RNA